rnacentral:rRNA from 1 species
UACGUAGGUGGCAAGUGUUGUCCGGAAUUAUUGGGCGUAAAGGGCGUGUAGGUGGAUCUUUAAGUCGUGUGUCUAAGUGCGGGGCUCAACCCCGUAUAGGCGCAGGAAACUGGGGAUCUUGAGUGCAGGAGAGGAAAGUGGAAUUCCCAGUGUAGCGGUGAAAUGCGUAGAUAUUGGGAGGAACACCAGUGGCGAAGGCGACUUUCUGGACUGUGUCUGACACUGAGGCGCGAAAGCUAGGGGAGCGAACGGG